rnacentral:tRNA from 1 species
GAUGACGCUGGCGGGCGCCUUCGUCGGCGGCGUGCUGUCGAUGCGCCUGGGCGUGAUGCGGGUGCUGAUGCUCGGCGCCCUCGCCA